rnacentral:rRNA from 1 species
UACAGAGGGGGCCAGCGUUAUUCGGAAUUAUUGGGCGUAAAGGGCGCGUAGGCGGUUUUGUGUGUCUUUUGUGAAAUCCCUCGGCUCAACUGAGGACGUGCGGAAGAAACUGCAGGGCUGGAGUCCGGGAGAGGAGGGUGGAAUUCCCAGUGUAGCGGUGAAAUGCGUAGAUAUUGGGAGGAACACCGGUGGCGAAGGCGGCCCUCUGGACCGGUACUGACGCUGAUGCGCGAAAGCGUGGGGAGCAAACGGG